CGUGUUGGGGCCUUGGCCUGGAGUUCAUCUGUGUUGUCUUCUGGUAGCCGGGAUAAGAGUAUUCUUCAACGAGAUAUACGUGCUCAGGAAGACUUCGUUAGCAAACUCUCCGGGCACAAGUCAGAGGUCUGUGGAUUAAAGUGGUCUUAUGAUAAUCGUGAGUUGGCAUCUGGUGGGAAUGAUAACAGACUUUUUGUUUGGAAUCAACGUUCAACUCAACC
rnacentral:misc_RNA from 1 species